CAGGUCUCUGGGCUGUAACUGACGCUGAGAAGCGAAAGCAUGGGGAGCGAACAGGAUUAGAUACCCUGGUAGUCCAUGCCGUAAACGUUGGGCACUAGGUGUGGGGGACAUUCCACGUUUUCCGCGCCGUAGCUAACGCAUUAAGUGCCCCGCCUGGGGAGUACGGCCGCAAGGCUAAAACUCAAAGGAAUUGACGGGGGCCCGCACAAGCGGCGGAGCAUGCGGAUUAAUUCGAUGCAACGCGAAGAACCUUACCAAGGCUUGACAUGCAUUAGAUCGCGUCAGAGAUGGCGUUUCCCUUCGGGGCUGGUGUACAGGUGGUGCAUGGUUGUCGUCAGCUCGUGUCGUGAGAUGUUGGGUUAAGUCCCGCAACGAGCGCAACCCUCGUUCUAUGUUGCCAGCGGUUCGGCCGGGGACUCAUAGGAGACUGCCGGGGUUAACUCGGAGGAAGGUGGGGAUGACGUCAAAUCAUCAUGCCCCUUAUGUCUUGGGCUUCACGCAUGCUACAAUGGCCGGUACAGAGGGUUGCGAUACUGUGAGGUGGAGCUAAUCCCUUAAAGCCGGUCUCAGUUCGGAUUGGGGUCUGCAACUCGACCCCAUGAAGUCGGAGUCGCUAGUAAUCGCAGAUCAGCAACGCUGCGGUGAAUACGUUCCCGGGCCUUGUACACACCGCCCGUCAAGUCACGAAAGUUGGUAACACCCGAAGCCGGUGGCCUAACCCUUGUGGGGGGAGCCGUCGAAGGUGGGAUUGGCGAUUGGGACUAAGUCGUAACAAGGUAGCCGUACCGGAAGG
rnacentral:rRNA from 1 species